CUAGUAUGAAAAUCGUCCACUUUUAUAAGACCAACUAAAAAUCUCGUCAUAUUGGUUGGACUCAAAAUACUACUCUUUCAUAUAAUAGUGUCAAAAAAUAAAAUAAAAUCAUACAAUAUAUCUUGUAUCGUUAUUAAGAAAUGCGUACAGCUUAAUUUAAUAGAGUGAUGAAAUUGCUGGUUUGCUUCAGCCCGACCCACAACGUGCGCGUUUCCCCUUUACGUAAGAGUGCAUUUUAACACUAACGAUGUUGAUCCAAGAUUCAAUAUAUUAUACUAUAAGAUUACGGUAGCCUAGUAAGUUGGUUAUGUAUAUAAUAUAUAACUAAUUUAAGUUUAAUAAGAUCAACAUGAGGGCAUUAAUGUCAACUGGCCCGUGGCGUCUGAAACUCUUGAUGUAAAUUAAAUACAGUUUUGACUUUUACCCGUACCAUAUAAACAAACCUUUUAGACUUUUAGUAUUUAGAAGUUGAACGUAAGUCAUGUUAAUGUUGGUUACUAGUACGCAUGCAAUUUCCGAAGUUCGGAAUCACUUGGGACUCGAUUUUGACCAGAUAUGUGAUAAUGUGAAUAAAAAAUGGAUUGUGUAAUCAGUUUUAGAUUGUCCAACUGAUUCAGCUGAUGUAAUAGAACGACUUUUAGAAUACAUGUUAACAUAUACUCUCUCUGUUUUUUAAUGUUACAUAUUCUAAUUGUUUCACACAUUUUAAUAAAACACAUUAAAUUUGUAUAAUUUUUUGUGUUUAUUUUUGUUCUAUAAUUUUAAACCACUAAAAAUUUAGUAAGUGUAAUUAAAUUUUUUGAAAUUUGCAAUUAGUUAAUAAAAUAUGUUUUGAAAAUAUAAAAAUGAUUUUUUUUAAAACAAAUUUUUUUUCUAGAAUAUGUAAUAUUAAAAAACAGAUGGAAAAUAUGUUAUCUACUUAUAAAUGUGGACUAUCUAAGAGCAUCUCCAAAGGCACUCUAUUUUUUCCUCUAUAAUUUACACUAAAAUAGAGUAACUCUAUUAUAGAGUUAAAUUUGCUCCAAUGGUUCACUCUAUAAUAGAGUUACUCUAUAAUAGAGUGAAAUAUAGAGUAAUCAUAUUUUUUUACUCCAAAUAUAGAGUGAAAAAACAAGAAUACUCUAUAUUUUACUCUAUUAUAGAGUAACUCUUAUAGAGUGAACCAUUGGAGCAAAUUCAACUCUACAAUAGAGUUACUCUAUUUUAGAGUGAAAUAUAGAGGAAAUUAUAGAGUGUGAUUGGAGAUGAUCUAAGAGAUCAGUUCGUGGAUGAAGGCAGUAAAUAUACUGGAAGAAAACCUUCCGUCUUGAAGAGAUAAGUCGGUCGCAUACGACCAACUGCAAUGAAUAUUAAGAACUCGGCCUACUGGGCCAGCUGUAACCGACGCAGGCCCAUAGAAACCCAUGACAAUGCGCGCUUUAGAUAGAUACAAAGUUAAUUGGCGUAAACACACAAAAAAGGCAAAGAUGGCCACGUCUCUCUCUACUGCAAAUAAGGUAGUUCUUCUGUCUUCACCAUGAAGCAAACACGAGUUUUGACAGAAGAGACGAACACACACAGACAAACACAAUCUUUUGACAGAAGAGACUAACACACACAAACUCUCUACGAUUCUCUCUCAAAGAAGUAAAGAGAAGAGGAACGGAAGCGAAAAGGGCAAAUAAAGGAAGACCCAGAAGAGGAGAAGUCAUACUUAUCGCCGGCGGAGAAGUUGUAAAGCUUGCCGGAGGCUGAGACAACGAGAAGAGCGACGGAUGCAUCGCAGAGAACUGAAAGCUGACGAGCUUUCUCGAUGAGACCAUUGCGUCGUUUGGAGAAGGUGACUUGUCGGCUACUUUUGUUCUCAAUUCGCUUGAUCUCUAGUUUCUUUCUUCCCAUGGCUUCUGUCUCCGAGAAGCCUUUGUGCCCUAAUUUGAUCCUGAGGUUCGGUUUCAACUCUCGCCGGAGAUACUGAGCGUUUUUUGUUCUUUCUUAUUUUUGCUUUUAUUUUCUUUCUUUUUUGCUUUUAUUUCUUUCUUUUUGUGUCUCUCCUUUUUCUCCCUCGGGCCACUUUUUAUUAGGGUAAACGAGAGAGAUGAAAAUAAAAAUUCGUAGAAAGAACCAAUGUGGUUCAGGGACAAGACAGCCACGUGUACCGCAUGACGAGUUCCCUCGUUGGCUCUUGCCUCUUGCCUUUAUUAUCUUUUAUCGAAUAAUUUAUCAAGU